rnacentral:snRNA from 1 species
UUGCUCUCUUUGGCAGCAUAUAUACUAAAAUUGGAACAAUAUGGAGAAGAUUAGCAUGGCCCCUGCACAAGGAUGGCAUGCAAAUUUAUGAAGCACUCCCUAUUUUU